UGAAGGGGAAGAUCUAAGCCUGCACACUCCCUUGCUGUAGAUCCACAAAGAGAAGACCCACAUUGCAGAUAAUACUGCUGAAAGACCUGACUGCAGGAGUCCAAUUGUACAAGGCUCAAAGAGGAAAAAAACUAAUAAAGGUAAUGCUGGUUUCUCAAACGAGAAGCUUCGGAAACUCUGCCCAUCUGGUGGUGAUCUCCUGGAAGAAAGAACAAAACUGAAGAACGUUUCUGCAGAAAAAGCAUUAAGAGACAAACGCAGAACCAGAUGUUAGGAUGGAAGGAGAACUAUGUUGAAAAGAAUCAUCCAUCCUUUUGACAGACCUAUGGACUAGCAGCAAGACCUUCCAAUAUUCAGCUGGCUGACAAUGGAUAGAAACACAAUCUUUUAAAGGCUUACUGCAGAUGUACAAGUUGGGAGGCAUCAUCAAUACAGACAAGGAUCAGAAUAUUAAACAGGAAGAGCUGGAUGAUUUUGAAAACUGGAGUGACAGAAAUGGGAUAAAACUCAAUAGUACAAAGUCAUGCACUUCGGGUCUAAUAACGAUUUCUGCUACAAGCUGGGAGCUCCUCAGCUGGAAGUGACAGAAGAGGAGAGACCCCUGGAUGUGGGGGUCAAUCACAGGGUAACCAUGAACUACCAACAUAAGGCAGCUGUGAAAAAAGCAAAUGGGAUCGGAACUAAGAUGCAUCAAGCGAGACGUUUCCAGUACAGAUAGAGAAGUAUUAAUGCCAUUGUACAAUGAACUGGUAAGACUUCAUUUGGAAUACUGUGUUCAGUUCUGCUCACGGAAGUUCAAGAAAGAUGAAUUCAAAUCAGCACAAGUGCUGAAAAGAGCGACUAGGCUGAUUAGGGAAUGAAGGGGCUAUUUUAGGAGAGAAAACAGGAACUGACGCACUCACAUUGUGCUGGGGAGCUGCCCACACAAAGGGUGCAGAUCCCUUACUUGUCAGAACAUAGCACAGGAAACUACCUGCACCUCAGUGCGCAGGGGGGUUGAGGCUGGGCAGGUUCACAGCUAUACAGCCCAGUUUUCACAGUUAACAGCCCAAUUUUCUCCUGUAGAAGGGUUAGGGCUAAAGCUUAGUGAGCAAGCCCACCUGCCGAGUAGCUGUGCCAUUUAGCAGUGGCCUGUGGGCAGCGGUGAAAGUUUCUGUCCCUGUGGGCAUGCAGCUGAUUUACUUGAAACUGGGCGCUGGGAAAGGAUUUUCCACAUCACGAAGAUGUUCUCUGAAAAAACAGAUUUCAAAUUAAGUGAUUUCCACGAAGGCCUCCAAUAGAUAUUUGAAAAAAGGGAAGUUAUAGCUACUGGAGAGUAUCAGACAGGCCAGCUACAUCUAUCCUGUGGUUUACUUAUCAGAUGUAUCAAAAGGAUUCCCUCCAAAACCCACAAAUCAAAUCUUUAUCUAACUCCCUUGUACUUUCUACAGCUAGCUAGACUGUGGACUACAUGAAGUGAGACUGGAUUUUCAGUCCAGUUCCCAAACACCUACAACACACCCACCCUGUAAAGCAAAUAAUAGUUAGCAGAAUAUACUAGCACUAACUGGUAGCUGUGACAUAUGGCUAGAAAGGGUUAAACAUCCUGCAAAAUAAAUAACCCUCAAAAGACAUGUGGGGAGAUGAUGUUUGUGUUUUUACAUAUGUAUGAAUAGGGUCAACAAUAUAGUCAACAGACUCUGUCUAUGCUGUAUUCUGAUAAUUCAGAGGUCAAAAGAACAGCCUAGCAUUUAAAUGAAUUGUAAACAUGGGAUAUCUCAGUAUUCAUCUCUCUUUGACAUGUACUGUGAAUGGUGGCGGAACAAGCAAGUGGCCUUAUGUUAAUUAGUAUAGCUAAGUACCUCCUUCAAAAUCAUGCUAAUGACCUUUUGUUCCCCGAAGAAAUCCCAACUUGUCAAAAGCCAUGAAAUUGUAUAAAAGAUGCUUGGGUCCUGAUUCUGUCAUCUCAGAUCUGCUUAAGCUUCAUCAGGGGACAUUUGAGUCGCAAGAUUGAGGUCCCAGUUGUGCUGGUGCUCCCUGAAGGGGAUUUUGGACAUUGGACUAUAAUCUAUGAACUAUUUCUGAAAGAACUCUUUGCAACUACAAAGCUCGCCAGCUCUGCUAUGAAUCUGCAUCUCAAUGAAUUGAACUUGUGUCUCUAGGUAUAUUAAUCUUUUAACCAUACUCU